rnacentral:rRNA from 1 species
AAUGCUACCAGGCUCCGACGGUAAGCCCGCCUGAGAGGGUGGACGCCACAUGGACUGAGAUCGGCCAGACUCCUACGGGAGGCAGCAGUGGGGAAUAUGCACAAUGGCGCAAGCUGAUGCAGCGACGCGCGUGGGGGAUGACGACUCGGGUGUAAACCUCUUCGACAGGGACGAAGCUUUGUGACGGUACCUGUAUAAGAAGCACCGGCUAACUACGUGCCAGCAGCCGCGGUAAUACGUAGGGUGCGAGCGUGUCCGGAAUUACUGGGCGUAAAGAGCUCGUAGGUGGUUUGUCGCGUCGUCUGUGAAAUUCCGGGGCUUAACUUCGGGCGUGCAGGCGAUACGGGCAUAACUUGAGUGCUGUAGGGGAGACUGGAAUUCCUGGUGUAGCGGUGGAAUGCGCAGAUAUCAGGAGGAACACCGAUGGCGAAGGCAGGUCUCUGGGCAGUAACUGACGCUGAGGAGCGAAAGCAUGGGGAGCGAACAGGAUUAGAUACCCUGGUAGUCCAUGCCGUAAACGGUGGGCGCUAGGUGUAGGGGUCUUCCACGACUUCUGUGCCGUAGCUAACGCAUUAAGCGCCCCGCCUGGGGAGUACGGCCGCAAGGCUAAAACUCAAAGGAAUUGACGGGGGCCCGCACAAGCGGCGGAGCAUGUGGAUUAAUUCGAUGCAACGCGAAGAACCUUACCUGGGCUUGACAUAUACAGGACUGGGCCAGAGAUGGUCUUUCCCUUUGUGGCUUGUAUACAGGUGGUGCAUGGUUGUCGUCAGCUCGUGUCGUGAGAUGUUGGGUUAAGUCCCGCAACGAGCGCAACCCUUGUCUUAUGUUGCCAGCGGUUUUGGCCGGGGACUCAUGAGAGACUGCCGGGGUUAACUCGGAGGAAGGUGGGGAUGACGUCAAAUCAUCAUGCCCCUUAUGUCCAGGGCUUCACACAUGCUACAAUGGUCGGUACAACGCGCUGCGAGCCUGUGAGGGUGAGCGAAUCGCUGAAAGCCGGCCU